AGCAGCCGCGGUAAUUCCAGCUCCAAUAGCGUAUAUUAAAGUUGUUGCAGUUAAAAAGCUCGUAGUUGAACUUCGGAAUUUGCCCAUUGGUCAGGCUUAACUGUCUGCACUGGUGUGACGAGUUCCUACCUUCUGAGGAAUCUCCAUGUCAUUCAGUUGGUGUGGGGGGAAAUCAGGACUGUUACUUUGAAAAAUUAGAGUGUUUAAAGCAGGCGUCCGUCUGAAUACAUUAGCAUGGAAUAAUAAAAUAGGACGGUUUGGUUCUAUUUUGUUGGUUUCUAGGAUCACCGUAAUGAUUAAUAGGGAUAGUUGGGGGCAUUAGUAUUCAAUUGUCAGAGGUGAAAUUCUUGGAUUUAUUGAAGACUAACUACUGCGAAAGCAUUUGCCAAGGAUGUUUUCAUUAAUCAAGAACGAAAGUUAGGGGAUCGAAGACGAUCAGAUACCGUCGUAGUCUUAACCAUAAACUAUGCCGACUAGGGAUCGGACGAAGUUAAUUUU
rnacentral:rRNA from 1 species